GACAGAGGAUGCAAGCGUUAUCCGGAAUGAUUGGGCGUAAAGCGUCUGUAGGUGGCUUUUCAAGUCCGCCGUCAAAUCCCAGGGCUCAACUCUGGACAGGCGGUGGAAACUACCAAGCUGGAGUACGGUAGGGGCAGAGGGAAUUCCUGGUGUAGCGGUGAAAUGCGCAGAUAUCAGGAGGAACACCGGUGGCGAAGGCGGGUCUCUGGGCCGAUACUGACGCUGAGGAGCGAAAGCGUGGGGAGCGAACAGG
rnacentral:rRNA from 1 species